rnacentral:SRP_RNA from 1 species
GCCUGGCACAGUGGCACGUGCCUGUAGUCCCAGCUACUAGAGAGGCUGAGGCUGGAGGAUCACUUGAGCCCAGGAGUUCUGGGCUGUAGUGCGCUAUGCCUAUUGGGUGUCUGCACUAAGUUCGGCAUCAAUAUGGUGACCUCCCAGGAGUGGGGAACCACCAGGUUGCCUAAGGAAGGGUGAACUGGCCCAGGUCAAAAACAGAGCAGGUCAAAACUCCCAUGCUGAUCAGUAGUGGGAUCACGCCUGUGAGUAGCCAGUGCACUCCAGUUGGGCAACAUAGCAAGACCCUGUCUCUU